UAGGGAAUCUUCCACAAUGGACGCAAGUCUGAUGGAGCAACGCCGCGUGAGUGAAGAAGGUUUUCGGACCGUAAAGCUCUGUUGUUGGUGAAGAAGGAUAGAGGUAGUAACUGGCCUUUAUUUGACGGUAAUCAACCAGAAAGUCACGGCUAACUACGUGCCAGCAGCCGCGGUAAUACGUAGGUGGCAAGCGUUGUCCGGAUUUAUUGGGCGCAAAGCGAGCGCAGGCGGAAGAAUAAGUCUGAUGUGAAAGCCCUCGGCUUAACCGAGGAAUUGCAUCGGAAACUGUUUUCUUGAGUGCAGAAGAGGAGAGUAGAACUCCAUGUGUAGCGGUGGAAUGCGUAGAUAUAUGGAAGAAUACCAGUGGCGAAGGCGGCUCUCUGGUCUGCAACUGACGCUGAGGCUCGAAAGCAUGGGUAGCGAACAGGAUUAGAUACCCUGGUAGUCCAUGCCGUAAACGAUGAGUGCUAAGUGUUGGGAGGCUUCCGCCUCUCAGUGCUGCAGCUAACGCAUUAAGCACUCCGCCUGGGGGAGUACGACCGCAAGGUUGAAACUCU
rnacentral:rRNA from 1 species